AUAUCAUGGUAGGGACAUUGCCUAAGAAACUCUUUAAAUCUUUCCCAAGCAUCAAAUAAGGAUUUGUCAUCUCCUUGUCAAAAUGAAGUGAUCUCGUUUCUUAUCUU